AACGAACGCUGGCGGCAGGCUUAACACGUGCAAGUCGAACGCAUCCUUCGGGGUGAGUGGCAGACGGGUGAGUAACGCGUGGGAACGUGCCCUUCAGUUCGGGAUAACCCAGGGAAACUUGGGCUAAUACCGGAUACGUGCGAGAGCAGAAAGAUUUAUCGCUGAAGGAUCGGCCCGCGUCUGAUUAGCUAGUUGGUGGGGUAAUGGCCCACCAAGGCGACGAUCAGUAGCUGGUCUGAGAGGAUGAUCAGCCACUUUGGGACUGAGACACGGCCCAAACUCCUACGGGAGGCAGCAGUGGGGAAUAUUGGACAAUGGGCGCAAGCCUGAUCCAGCCAUGCCGCGUGAGUGAUGAAGGCCUUAGGGUUGUAAAGCUCUUUCGUCCGGGACGAUAAUGACGGUACCGGAAGAAGAAGCCCCGGCUAACUUCGUGCCAGCCGCCGCAGUAA
rnacentral:rRNA from 1 species